rnacentral:sRNA from 1 species
UGACGGUAGCGUGGGGCGCAGCCUCGAA